UCCAGGAAAGUUUUAAUCACAAUAAUCGAUAUCACACCUUUAAUCUUCACAGUGGAAUUCAUACAAAAUAACCAAGCUACUGAUAAUGGAUAAGAACCAGCUGCUUAAAGUAAGCUAAAAGACCCAAAAAAAAAAAAAAAAAAAUUGGCCAAAAGGGCUAGUACCAAAACCCUAACUAAAAAUAGCCUAUGUCUCUCCGGAUUCAUUAUUGCUGCGAUUUCUGUGGAGGUGCUGCGAUUGUAGCUCUUCUUCAGAAGCUAUUCAAGGAUUGGAAAUAUGCUGUUAUGCUGUGAUUGCAGCUUGGCCUCCUACACUUGCAGCCCUUAUUGAGUUUCUGUCCAGGACCUGAUGUAGUUGGAUUGCGAUCACAGCUCUUUUUUCCCCAAGCUGCCAAAAGCUGAUCUUUUCUCAUCUUUAAAGGCCUUCAUUCCUCUAGGGACCCGACCAUUCAGCUAGGAAACCACUGGAAGUGGAUUGUUGAUCCUUGGUUGCUACGAUUCCCUCCCAUUUGAAAAGAAUUAGUCCUUGAAUUCGAAUCUAGCAACAGGAGGAAGAUUCCUGAAUUAGUAAAUAUUCCCCCAAGGUUAAGAAUGCACCAAGUAAAAUUGACACAAGAUAAUGACCAUGCAUCCUUUUAACCCAAUCGUUCUAGAUGGAGUAGACACUCCUCUAAGCAACAUGUGCACAUCACAUCACAUCACAAGGAAUGUCAUAAUCUCCAAUAUAUCUGCAAAAUGCAUGCCUGAAAACAUGUUACUAAAUAAACCUUGCAAAAUGCUGAUAAUUGUAGGGGGAUCUUUCUGCUGUAGUAUGGAAGUUCUGGAAUUAGCUUAUCCUUUCAGUGCAUUGAUGAUCUAAUUUAGGAUGCUUUCUCCCUUUUUAAAAAUUCUUUUUCCCUUUCACUAGCUUUCUUAGCAUGUCGUGUCUGUACUUAUGCUUGUGUUUGUUUCUUAAUGAUAAUCUUCUACUUUGUAUCAGUGGUUGUUGGAUUCAUACAACACUCAAAUACUUAUCAUGGUGUUUCUGGCUAUAGUGUCUAUGUUACUUGCCGGUUUCCUUGCAUACCACACCAAACUGUGUGUCACAAAUACUACAACGAAUGAGGUAUUCCUUUUUUGUAUUUAAUUCAGUACAGUACAUAUCUCCAGUAGCUUAGGAUGAUUUUUUGGUUUUGCUGUGCAGUCUGACUUUUCUUCUCCUUCAUAGUACCUGCAUUUUCUUUAGAAGUAAGCUUUUGGAACUAUAUGUGUCUACUAACAAUGAACUUCUUGUCUUAUUACUCAAUUUUCUUUUUUUGAUAACUGAGAAAUCCACGAGAGCCAGUGGGGCACAGUUCGAAACUCGGUGCCACUUAAAUACCAGGUUUUUGUCUUUAGCAGGGUUCGAACCCAUGACGUGUAUCUAACCCACACAUCACAAGUUACGUUCUUACCACUAGCCCGAAUCCUUGGGGGCGUUGUAAUAUUAUUACUAUUACAUGGACAUUUUCACCUAGAAGGAAAUAUGGCUUCUGAUCUAUCACUGAACAAAGUUCAGGCCAGUUGGAGACCUUGAAAUCUCAAAAUAUUUCGGCAAACAAGAAAUAAGAAGUCUGCUCUUAUAAGGGGGAUCAAGUAAGUAAACACAAUUUUGACUGACCAACCUAAAAAUAACAAGUUUAAGGACCAGAGGAGCACUAUCUCUUGGUCUGAUAGCAAUCUCUCCUUUGUCUUAAUUUUGACUAGGCAUGAGAAAAAGAAAAGUAAAGAGAAGAAAGGAGGAAGAAGGGGAAACAUAAAAAGAAAAAAAGCAUUGGGACAUUCUAAAUCCUGAUGAUAUCCCCUAUUGAUUCAGCAUACCUCCAAAAUUUUAGGAGUCGAAACAGCGGCAGAAGCUGUUCUUAGCUCUCAUAAAGCUAAAUUUUGCUCGUGUGGACUGCAGACUUUCAAAUGGCAAGAAUAUUUAAACUGGAAGAGGAAAGUCAAUGAAGCAAAGGCAAGUGCAGCAGCUCUCAAAGCAAGUUUAGGUGAAUUGAACCAGGAAAUGACGCGCCCUGUGAGCAAAUGGAAGGCCUUCUUUCGGAGGUCCCAUCUGGAAGAAGUGGAGGUGGUUAAGAAUAACAUUUACGAUAAAGGACUACUCCAGAAUGUCUCUGAGAUUGUAAUUCCUCUUUCAACAAGACGUUCAUUCAUACAGAGGAAAUCAAAAUCAGGUUAGAAUUGUCAGUUGGUGACCCAUAUUCCAUUGGGGCUUGAUAGCUCAUCUUGGUCCAAGUCUUUAGUCUAAUGGUCAUAAACACCAAGGAGAAUGCUCUAAAUGUGAAGUACGCUCGAUUCUAUCAGAACCUAUUAUAAGUAUCGACAAGUCAUCUACCUUUACUCUUGGAUGGGCACGGUUAAUGCAGUUUAAUUGCCCGUGGUGAAAGGAUUGGACGGGUUCUGAGAAGGGGUUUAAGUGCCAGUAGUGGUGUUUGCUUCCUUUUAUUUGCUGCGGCUGCAGCUGUUGAAGGGAAGGGCUUACUGUUCUUUUUGGUGCAUUCUGAUUCCUACUGGUGUAGCCUGGGUUUCUUCUCAUUUCUAGGAUAAAUUUCAAUCCUACUUUAUUUAACUUUUUAUAGCUCUUCGCUGCUUAGCAGCAAAUUUUUACUUGUACUAUGUAAUACGACGAGAAUGAGUACCUGGUAUAUGUUGCAAUCCAAUGUCUCAUGUUUCCACCAGCUGUGGAACUGGAACUCUGUAGAAUUCAAAUAAAUUUUGUGCUAAUGUAGCGGAAAAAGAGAGAAUGUUACCCAGCAGCUUAAUAUUUCUUUUAGUUAUAAUGUAAAUUUCAUUGAUGCCUGGAGAAACUCUUGUAUGCAAAAAGCAGGGAACUUACAUUAAAAUGUGGUUCUCUAAAAAAAGGCUCCCAAUCUUCUAUCCAAACUGAAACAGGGACUGCAUGGAUGUACC
rnacentral:lncRNA from 1 species